AUUAAGCGGCGAGGAGGAGAUGGGGCAGGGGGCACCUAGCAGGGACUUAGAGACCGUCGCUAAGGAACUGGCGGCAGAGAGGAGAGCAGGGAAGAGGCGGAGAGCAGGGAAGAGGCGGAGACCAGGACUCUGCAGGACGACUGAUGAGGACAGCUGGCGGUGAGGCCCCCAUCUGAUUCUGGAGUCAGUGUUUGGCUGAAAGCUGGGCAUACAGGACUAUUCAAGACGGAGUUUCACCAUGUUGACCUCAGGUGAUCCACCUACCUGGGCCUCCUGAACUGCUGGGAUUACAGGCGUGAGCCACCGCGCCCAGCUCUUCAAGUUUCUGCUACCAAGAUGACUUCACUGAAUAAGGAGCUGGGUGUACAAUGGGCACUCGUGACCUGGCAUGAGCGGAUGCCAGCACGCCACUGUCCACGGGCAUCUAAGUGGGGAUAUUCAGUCAGCCAUUGGAUGUACACCAAGUCGGCACACGGGGAAGAGACAUCUGGGCUGGAGACAGAGGUUUGAGUGUUAUGAGCAAUUAGCAGGUAAAGUCACAGUAAUGGAUGAAGUCACCAAUGAAUAACAUGGAGAGUGAGCAGAGGAGGCCAAAGUCAGUAUUCUGGGAAAAACAAUGUUUGCAGAGUGCCCUGAGGAGGAGGAGAUGCUAAGAAGCCAGAAGAGGUAGAGGAAGGAGGCCCUGUGACCCAUCAGAGCCACAUCCGCCACUUGCUCUCGAGGGUCCUGCCUGCUCAGAUAAGUUGGCUACUCAUUGGUCAUCACCUGGCAACUCUGUCCUUCCUUGCAUCUGGCCAACUUCUUUUUCCUCUCUCUUUCCUCCUGCCCUCCUCAUUACCAUCUAAAUUAGCUCCAGUAGCUCUCAUCAAAACUCAAAUAACGGCCAGGCGCUGCGGCUCAUGCCUGUAAUCCCAGCACUUUGGGAGGCUGAGGCGAGUGGAUCACCUGAGGUCCGGAGUUUGAGACCAGCCUGGCCAACAUGGUGAAACCCUGUCUCUACUAAAAAUAUCAAAAUGAGUUGGGCGUGGUGGCACAUGCCUGUAAUCCCAGCUACUUGGGAGGCUGAGGCAGGAGAAUCGCUUGAACGU